UACAGAGGGUGCGAGCGUUGUUCGGCAUUAUUGGGCGUAAAGCGCUUGUAGGCGGCACGUCAAGUCGCGUGUGAAAUCCCCAGGCUUAACCUGGGAAGUGCGCGCGAAACUGACGAGCUUGAGUGCCGGAGAGGGUCGCGGAAUUCCCGGUGUAGAGGUGAAAUUCGUAGAUAUCGGGAGGAACACCAGUGGCGAAGGCGGCGACCUGGACGGACACUGACGCUGAGACGCGAAAGCGUGGGGAGCAAACAGG
rnacentral:rRNA from 1 species